CAACACGGGGAAACUCACUAGUUUAAGACAAGAGUAGGAUUGACAGAUUAAUAGCUCUUUCUUGAUUUCUUGGAUGGUGAUGCAUGGCCGUUUUUAGUUCGUGAAUAUGAUUUGUCUGGUUAAUUCCGAUAACGAACGAGAUCUUAACCUGCUAAUUAGCGGCGAAUACGUUAUAUUCUUAUGUGAAAUUGAAUAUAGCUGAAUUUGCUUAUUUUGAAGAAUACAUUAGGAUACAAUUAAUGUGUCCUUUUCCCUAUUCUACUUAAUUCGCAAUUCAUGCUGUUUCUCUUUUGCAUAGGAAUGUAUUCGUUUGAUUGUAAAGCUUCUUAGAGGAACGAUGUGUGUCUAACACAAGGAAGUUUAAGGCAACAACAGGUCUGUGAUGUCCUUAGAUGAACUAGGCUGCACGCGUGCUACACUGAUAUGUAUAACGAGUUACUAAAAAUAUACUUUUGUUAGGGUAUUUUAUAUACUCUUUCAAAUUGUAUAGUUUUCCUCCACUGAAAAGUGUAGGUAAUCUUUAUCAGUACAUAUCGUGAUGGGGAUAGAUUAUUGCAAUUAUUAAUCUUGAACGAGGAAUGCCUAGUAAGCAUGAUUCAUCAGAUUGUGCUGACUACGUCCCUGCCCUUUGUACACACCGCCCGUCGCUCCUACCGAUUGAAAGAUAUGAUGAAUUGUUUGGACAAGAAAAGAAAGAAUUUAUAUUCUUUUUUUUCUGGAAAAACCGUAAAUCCUAUCUUUUAAAGGAAGGAGAAGUCGUAACAAGGUUUCCGUAGGUGAACCUGCGGAAGGAUCAUUA
rnacentral:ncRNA from 1 species